rnacentral:rRNA from 1 species
UUYUUCUAUGAUAUAUAUAUUGGAAGUAUAACCUGCCCACUGAUUAAUUAAAUGGCCGCGGUACUUUGACCGUGCAAAGGUAGCAUAAUCAUUAGUCUAUUAAUUGUAGGCUGGAAUGAAAGGUUGGAUGAAGUGCAGACUGUUUUAUUAUUAUUGUAUUAAAAUUUAAUUUUUAGAUAAAAAGGUCUAUAUGUUUUCAUGGGACGAGAAGACCCUAUAGAGUUUAAUAAUAUUUUGAUUAGUUUAGUUAGAAUUUAUUGAUUAGUAAUUUAGAUAUUAUUUUGUUGGGGUGAUGGCGAGAUAAAAAUAACUCUUGUUUGGUUAUUAUUAUUGUGUAUAUGAUUAUAAUGAUCCACUAUUASUGAUUAUAAGACUAAWUUACC